rfam:Streptomyces sp. WAC00263 NODE_4371_length_1374_cov_5.165211, whole genome shotgun sequence.
GCCGGUCCUCGGUAGUGGCCCCCGGGGGAAUGAGAUCCCGGGUGCUUCGAUCGAAGACCGGC